GUGCCCGUAACUCAGUGGUAGAGUGUGAGAUUGCAACUUCCGCUGAAGUAACUAUCUUGAAGCCGCGUGUUCGAACCACGCCGGGCACU